GCGAAGGUGGCGGAAUUGGUAGACGCGCUAGCUUCAGGUGUUAGUGUUCUUACGUUCAGGUGUUAGUGUUCUUACGGACGUGAGGGUUCAAGUCCCUCUCUUCGCACCA
rnacentral:tRNA from 1 species